rnacentral:rRNA from 1 species
CCUACGGGUGGCAGCAGUGGGGAAUAUUGGACAAUGGGCGAAAGCCUGAUCCAGCCAUGCCGCGUGUGUGAAGAAGGCCUUCGGGUUGUAAAGCACUUUCAGUGGGGAAGAAAGCCUUGGGGCUAAUACCCUCUAGGAAGGACAUCACCCACAGAAGAAGCACCGGCUAACUCCGUGCCAGCAGCCGCGGUAAUACGGAGGGUGCGAGCGUUAAUCGGAAUUACUGGGCGUAAAGCGCGCGUAGGCGGUCUGAUAAGCCGGUUGUGAAAGCCCCGGGCUCAACCUGGGAACGGCAUCCGGAACUGGCAGGCUAGAGUGCAGGAGAGGAAGGUAGAAUUCCCGGUGUAGCAGUGAAAUGCGUAGAGAUCGGGAGGAAUACCAGUGGCGAAGGCGGCCUUCUGGACUGACACUGACGCUGAGGUGCGAAAGCGUGGGUAGCAAACAGGAUUAGAUACCCUGGUAGUC